CCUCUCCUUGCGGGGCACCUGCACCGCCUGGGGCCCUGCCAUUUCCCUUGCAAAUCUCCCUGAGGGAGCAGCAUCCCAGGGAGGAAGCCUCCGUGGACCCAGAACAUUCCAGCGCUCGCAGCAGAAGCUCAGGAAUACCGAAUGGGAGGAAGACGAGGGGAACUAAGGGACCUCGCUUCAGAGGCACCAAUGGAACCGGAGGCGGAGAAGCCAGUCGGAAAUGAGCAGGGUGUGGAGUGAGGUCAUCAGAAAAGAUUCAACCUUGAAAAUGGUCA